rnacentral:lncRNA from 1 species
UUGAUGCCAGUGGCAAGAGGCCAGAUGCUGGGCACCAAAUGUUAUUUAUAGCAAGGCCCUAGCUGGAUUCCAUUAACAUCCAAAUAAGAGUCUUCCUCAUUUUUCAUUUAAUAAAAUCGCUAUUUUUCUGCAUGACACUUUAUUUUUUCUUUGGCACCUGCCAGGCCUGCAAGCCAUUUAUAAAGCAGAAAUACAGGCAUAGAACGUGACCUGCCUGGAGAAUAAGUCUGCUUGAAUGAGAGUUGUCGCAAUAGAGAGGUGUGUUCUGUUUGUUCUUCUGAGCGUAAUCCUCCUUGUUAAUUACCAGUUAUCUCUUCUGUCUCAGGCACUGGGCCAGGUCCUGGUGAUAGAUAUGGAUCAACAACAGCUCCCAUCUUCAUGAAGCUUUCUACUGAGUUAGUUAGAAUCCAUGUACAAUAAGCUGUAAUGUUAGCUAGAAUGUGUACUCUGCCUUAUACACAGUAGAGGGAUACUGGGAGGGUCUCCCACACUGAGCUGCCCAGCACUGCCUCUGCUAAGUUUUAUUAAUAAUUACGUGCUGCCCUUCUAUUACUCCUACUUUCCACACCCUGGAAAGUAUACAUAGUUCUAGAAUAUUCCAUUAGGAGGGCCAGGUAAGGAUUCUUAAAUA